rnacentral:tRNA from 1 species
GCAGCAAUGGCCGAGUGGUUAAGGCUUUGGACUUGAAAUCCAAUGGGGUCUCCCCGCG